CCCUUAGAUGUUCUGGGCCGCACGCGCGCUACACUGAUGAAUUCAACGAGCACUAACCUGUGCAGAAAUGUUCGGGUAAUCUUGUGAAAUUUCAUCGUGAUGGGGAUUGAUUAUUGCAAUUAUUAAUCAUAAACGAGGAAUGCCUAGUAAGCGUGAGUCAUCAGCUCACGUUGAUUACGUCCCUGCCCUUUGUACGCACCGCCCGUCGCUCCUACCGAUUGAAUGUGCUGGUGAAAAGUUCGGAUUGGGAAUAGGAGACGGCAACGUAUCCUGUUUCUGAGAAAAUCUUUAAACCCUCCCAUUUAGAGGAAGGAGAAGUCGUAACA
rnacentral:rRNA from 1 species